CUCCUCUGCCGGCCACUGAGUUCACCCCGACGAUGAGACCGAGCGUUCAGGUUCGACGCUGCCGAUCCCGGCCACCGCGCCUCACCAACAUCCUGCUGUCCAACUACCAGGAGCACCGCCGCCUCCAGUUCGACUUCGUUGUCCACGACCGCCUCCCAUCUCCAUCAUGACUCCUGCCUAAGUCCCUAUCCACUGAUCCACCUGCCUCCUUGCCAAUUCCUUUGCAUCCCGACCUCCUCGUUGAACCCUAGCACAAGUCCUGCAGCCGCCGCCCUUCUCGUGUCCCCGGCUCCCCGCCCCAGCCACCCUCCCUCAGUCGUCUGAGCGGAUCGCUGAGCGGAGCGCCUCCUCACAUCUGGAUGACCUCCAUCUCGAGGUUCGGCCUCCUCAAAGUUCGGUCCUUCUCCAGCAAAAGCUCCUCCCCGAGCAACCCCAAGUGGACGACCUCCUCCUUCUCGAGAUCCAUCCCCGAUCUUGGCCGGUCUGAUCCUCACUAAGGGAUGCGGCGAUGGAGCUGCGCUCCAAUGAUAGUAUCAGCAACAGAGUGAACAUGCUUCAGUUUGCUGCCCCGCGCACGGACUGAGAUCCUCCUACCCAUUGUCUCCCCAACGCUAGGGCAUUCUACAUCUUUAUGUUCUACAUGUCCAAGUCGUCUAAGAGGAACCAGGGUAUUCUAAAUCGCAGGCAGGAUGGACGCUACAAUGGUAAUCACAAGCAGAAAUUGAUCCCAAAGUGCGACAGGAGGUCUGGCGCGCUCUGGACUUCCCCACCGAAGCCAUCACUGCUGAUGCCUUCAUUGGAGAUGACCAUCUUGAAGCUCCUCCUAGCGAUAGAGUCUAGCAUCCUGGCUGGCGUUGUAGCGCGGCGCCCCCCACACCCGUGGUGUUCGGCGGUGGGACUACGAGGCGCAACUAUAUGAGCUGAGCACAAGCCCUGCCCCAGAGCCAUUCUUCUCCUCUUUCCCAUCUGAAGAGUGAUCUGACUUGAUUAGUACUUCAGCUUCGAAUACAGACACGUCUCAGUUCAGUUGCAGCUAUGUAUGCAUUACUUGCAAGAUCAUAUGUGGAGGUUACUGAAAGAACAAAGAAAUGAUUGUUCUACUUAUUCAGGCCUUGACCUUGGAGAGUCCAAGAUGACCUCGGAUGCCACUGGCAGUCAGACAUCAUUGGCUGUUUGGAACAUUCCACUUUACAAUGCUAAUGGAGAUGCAUCUGAAACGACAUACAUUUUUAUGAGAUCAUUCCUAAGAAUAUAUGGAUGCACAUUCAAAUCAGGAGAAUUUGCUUCAAAAGAUACACGAGUUUUGUC